AAUUUUGGACAAUGGGGGAAACCCUGACCCAGCCAUCCCGCGCGUAUGAUGAAGGCCUUCGGGUCGUAAAGUACUUUUGUCAGAGAAGAAAAGGUAUCUCCUAAUACGAGAUACUGCUGACGGUAUCUUCAGAAUAAGCACCGCCUAACUACGUGCCAGCCGCCGAGGUAAUACGUAGGGUGCAAGCGUUAACCGGAAUUACCGGGCGUAAAGCGUGUGUAGGCGGUUCGGAAAGAAAGAUGUGAAAUCCCAGGGCUCAACCUUGGAACUGCAUUUUUAACUGCCGAGCUAGAGUAUGUCAGAGGGGGGUAGAAUGCCACGUGUAGCAGUGAAAUGCGAAGAUAUGUGGAAGAAUACCGAUGGCGAAGGCAGCCCCCUGGGAUAAUACUGACGCUCAGACACGAAAGCGUGGGGAGCAAACAGG
rnacentral:rRNA from 1 species